CGUAAGACUAGUGUUAGUCAUCUUAUUAGGUUUAAGGGUACCUAGACGGUAAUUAACUCUAAAUGAGUACUUUUACUUAGAGUUUAUGUGAGAAGGAAGAACUUUGGUAGUAGGGAGUAAAUAACUUUGAUACCAAAGGAACUGAUAACGGCGAAGGCAUCCUUCUAUGUAAAACUAGACGUUGAGGGACGAAGGCCUGGGUAGCAAGAAGGAUU
rnacentral:rRNA from 1 species